rnacentral:rRNA from 1 species
AAAGCGUGCGCAGGCGGUUCUAUAAGACAGAUGUGAAAUCCCCGGGCUCAACCUGGGAACUGCAUUUGUGACUGUAGAGCUGGAGUACGGUAGAGGGGGAUGGAAUUCCGCGUGUAGCAGUGAAAUGCGUAGAUAUGCGGAGGAACACCGAUGGCGAAGGCAAUCCCCUGGACCUGUACUGACGCUCAUGCACGAAAGCGUGGGGAGCAAACAGGAUUAGAUACCCCUGU